rnacentral:rRNA from 1 species
CAGCAGCCGCGGUAAUACCGAGGGUGCGAGCGUUAAUCGGAUUUACUGGGCGUAAAGCGUGCGUAGGCGGCUUCUUAAGUCGGAUGUGAAAUCCCUGAGCUUAACUUAGGAAUUGCAUUCGAUACUGGGAAGCUAGAGUAUGGGAGAGGAUGGUAGAAUUCCAGGUGUAGCGGUGAAAUGCGUAGAGAUCUGGAGGAAUACCGAUGGCGAAGGCAGCCAUCUGGCCUAAUACUGACGCUGAGGUACGAAAGCAUGGGGAGCAAACAGGAUUAGAUACCCCCGUAGUCCAUGUCUCUUAUAC